rnacentral:rRNA from 1 species
AUUGAACGCUGGCGGCAGGCUUAACACAUGCAAGUCGAGCGGAGAGAGGUAGCUUGCUACUGAUCUUAGCGGCGGACGGGUGAGUAAUGCUUAGGAAUCUGCCUAUUAGUGGGGGACAACAUUCCGAAAGGAAUGCUAAUACCGCAUACGUCCUACGGGAGAAAGCAGGGGAUCUUCGGACCUUGCGCUAAUAGAUGAGCCUAAGUCGGAUUAGCGAGUUGGUGGGGUAAAGGCCUACCAAGGCGACGAUCUGUAGCGGGUCUGAGAGGAUGAUCCGCCACACUGGGACUGAGACACGGCCCAGACUCCUACGGGAGGCAGCAGUGGGGAAUAUUGGACAAUGGGCGCAAGCCUGAUCCAGCCAUGCCGCGUGUGUGAAGAAGGCCUUAUGGUUGUAAAGCACUUUAAGCGAGGAGGAGGCUACUUUAGAUAAUACCUAGAGAUAGUGGACGUUACUCGCAGAAUAAGCACCGGCUAACUCUGUGCCAGCCGCCGCGGUAA